rnacentral:misc_RNA from 1 species
GAGAGAGAGAUGAAGUAGGCACAAAGCCUUUCAAAUCAAAUAACAAUAUUAUUCCACUACAAAAAAGCACAGACAUGGGUAUUUAUAGAGAUAUAAUUAAUCCUACUCCUGGAAUUAGGAAUUCCAAACUAGAAAGAUUUCAAUCUUAUCCCUAGGAUUAUGAAUGCCAAACAAGAAAAUUCUAAACCAAUUUUUCUUGUAGAUGAAGUAGACCUGGCCAGCCAAUAGGAAUACAUCUUGUAGUUAUCAAUUCUCGUUACAUUAAGUUUGGCUUCUUAUUUCACAUUGAAUAUGGAGUAUUAUGCAAUUAUUAUUAAUUAUGUUCUUCUUUUGCAGAUUGG